CCUUUGUGUUUAUCUCCACUGAAUUCUGAAGCAGAGCUUCAUAACUCAAUCAAAAACAUCUCCUCGUAAAGGAGAUCCGUACAGAAAACCAUGGUUGACAUACUCACUUCCUUGAGGUCUCUCAUGGCUUCUCACUCUCCCCCUCUCGAUGCCUUAGUUGUUCCCUCUGAGGAUUAUCAUCAGAGCGAGUACGUGUCUGCGCGGGACGAGCGGCGGGGAGUUGUGUCUGGAUUCUCUGGAAGCGCAGGUUUGGCGCUUAUUACAAUGAAUGAAGCCCGGCUAUGGACGGAUGGAAGAUAUUUCUUGCAGGCAACACGACAACUCAGUGAUCAGUGGACACUCAUGCGUAUGGGAGAAGACCCUCCAGUGG
rnacentral:misc_RNA from 1 species